rnacentral:lncRNA from 1 species
GGCUGGGCACAAUCAGGAGCCACUUGUCAAAAGAAACUAACUUUAUUUUUAGAACCACACACGACAAACAAAAUAGUCUCUCAGGAAAAACCCUCAGAGCCUCAACUGCCACCACCGGCUUUCCCCAAGCCUCUCUCUCCCCCCCAAGCUUCUCCCCACCUCCCACAAUCCUCCUGCUCUUGAGGCCGAUUGGCUGGGUCACGUGGGCGGAGCCAAAAAAGUCCCCCAAUGAGCAGCUCCGUGGUCUGAAAGGGCAGGGAAACAGUCCAAUGAGCAUCACCGCAGAGGAGCCAAUCAGCUAGAUGUUGCUGGGGCCGAGGAGCCAAUCAGCUAGAUGUUGCUGGGGCUGCUGUGAGCCAAUCAUCAGCCGGCAGCUGGAAGUUUGCUGGCAGCUGGAAGUUUGCUGGGGCCCCUCAGGCUGUGGCUCUCAACAAGAGAGAGAGAGAGAGAGAGAGAGAGAGAGAGAGAGAGAGAGAGAGAGAGAAAGAAAUUAAAGCAGUUUUCCAUCAGAGAAAUUUCCCCAUUGCCUUGGCCUUUCCUGGUUCCCUUCUUCUUCCCCCUCCCUCCCCUCUACAAACCUACUUCCACCCCCCCGGGUCACCUCAUGUCCCUUCACCCACCUGAGGCCACUGCUCUCCACUUGGGGACUUCAGGCUUCCUCCCAACACACUUCCCACCCCCCAUCUCCAGGGCCGACUCUGCUCCUGCUGUGUCUUCCAAAGUGUAUACAGCUGUCUUCCCUUUUCAAUAGUUUGACUUCCCAUGAUUUCACUUGCCAUAGAAAACUCCAUGAUUCAUAAGUGUUAAAGCAUGUGCUGUUCUGCACAGCAUGAUGGAAACUUGAGCUAUCCUCCAUCUUGCCUUCGUCCAGUGUAUCCAUGCUGUAUAUGCUACCCAACCGCUCGUCAUCUAACAGCCGUCCACUCCUUUACAUCCAGUGUACUCUUUUCAUCUUUGUUAGCAAUUAAAAAAUUUUUACUUUUAUCAAGCUUAGAUACGGUUGGAUCAUGGCUUAAAGAGUUCAAAUAUUUAAUACAAAACCACAUCCUCUUUCAUCUUUUGGGGCUGAUCAUUUUGGUGUUUGCCUGUAG